UGGCAUCACUAGUUGCGGAUAAAUUCUCCUCCAGACGCGCCUCCUCAAUCCGGCGGUCCACAGAUUCCCGGAGAGAGUGGUCGCGAGCAUCCACCUCCAUAAAGAGGCCCGUCACCUAAUACAAAGGAAAAACUGUUAAAACAAAGAAACAAAGAAAACCAGAAUGAAAACAAAGGAGGUAGCUUAGCUUACCAUUAGAAGCAUCUCCCUGAUUGUGUCUCCGAGCUCCCCACGAGGUCGAGAACGGAACGCU
rnacentral:lncRNA from 1 species